rnacentral:misc_RNA from 1 species
AGCAGCCGCGGUAAUUCCAGCUCCAAUAGCGUAUAUUAAAGUUGUUGCAGUUAAAAGCUCGUAGUUGAACUUCGGAAUUUGCCCAUUGGUCAGGCUUAACUGUCUGCACUGGUGUGACGAGUUCCUACCUUCUGAGGAAUCUCCAUGUCAUUCAGUUGGUGUGGGGGAAAUCAGGACUGUUACUUUGAAAAAUUAGAGUGUUUAAAGCAGGCGUCCGUCUGAAUACAUUAGCAUGGAAUAAUAAAAUAGGACGGUUUGGUUCUAUUUUGUUGGUUUCUAGGAUCACCGUAAUGAUUAAUAGGGAUAGUUGGGGGCAUUAGUAUUCAAUUGUCAGAGGUGAAAUU